GCCCUCCGCCCCUCCGCCCGCCGCCCGCCGCCCUCCGCCCACCGCCCGCCGCCCGCCGCCUCUCCCUUCUCCUCCCGUCGCGGCGCAGUGCGCCGUGCAGCGCUGGACCGACCUCCCUUCUCCUCACCCAUUUUGCUCGUGCCUCCUCCUCUCCCGCUCGUUCCCCUCCUCUCCCCUCAACAAAUCGCCUCGUCUCCGUUGUUGGGCUGCCGUCGCCACUCCCUUCUCCGGCCGAUCUUUCAUCGUCGCCAUGGCCUGCCGGGAGAAGCGCCUGCCUUGUACGCGAGCAGCUCGUGCGGCACGAGCGGGGCGCCAGCUGGGGCGCGAGCCCCGCGUACGGCACAAGCUCGAGCGCCCCUCCUGCUGAUGGUGAAGGAGGAAGUGCAAGGGGCGGGUCGCCGCCGCUAUGGAGGCACGGCUCCCACUGCCGUGUACAUGGUGGAGAGGUCGCCGUCGACGAGCGGGAUGAGGAGGCGUGCAUCGAUGCGGGGAGGGCGCCGCCAGGACGUGUACGAGCGCUUCCUUCUGCAACGCAAGAGGAGAACGUGCCAGAGAGAGGCAUCCAUGGCGCUUGUUCCGUCGACUUGUUCCCAGCUAUUGUGGUCUGCCCCGCUGUCCUCCUCCUGUUCCUCCUCUCCAUGAGCUCGCUCUGCUAAGCAGCCGCGAGGAUGACGCUGAUGGAACUACUGCAAGAUUCGUGGGAUCUCCUCAAUUUCUCUUUCUCUCUAGGUUUGCUCUGUUUAAUUCAUGCUUGCUUUGAUUUAGUGCGGUGUACUGGAGCAGGUGCAUUCUCCAUUUAAUUCGUCUUUGCCUUGAAUUAGUGCAGUGUAGUGGAAACGAAAUCUGUGGCAGAUGACAUGUUGAGCUGAUAGUUCCACCCCUUUCUUCUACCUGAUGACAGCGACGAGCCGAGUAUUGGAUGGGGAACUUUUCAACCAGUGAACGGUAUUGUUACAUGUGAACUAACACACAUUCAGUUAAUUGAGGUUAGCUUUGUAUAGCUUCUGUUGUUGAUUAUCCAACUAUGUUGCCUGGUGUGUCUCCACCUACCAUUCAUGCUUGCUAUUUGAUAUGAAGGAUUGUAGGUUGUUGUGUUGCAUAGGGCAGCUGCUCGCAAGUUUCCCAAUUGAGAAGAAAAUAAUAUGAUCCGCAACAAAAUACAAGCUUUGUUAUAUGUACAGUGCAGGCUUCAUGAUUUUUCAUUUAUAUUUUAAUAGUUGUACAUAACCCAUAUUUGUUUAUUGUUAAUAUUUUCAAAGGUUGGCUGAUGCCUUUUCCUAUACUUGGUAAAGUUGUCAACCUAAUGAUUUAAAUCUCUCAUGUUUGGUAAUGUUGUCAACCUAAUAUAUGUGAUCCCUUGCGGCUAUUGUCGAUUUAAUUAUGCUCAUGUUCUUGGCUGUAUAGGGGCGGUUUCUUAUUAGAAUUCAGCCAUGUAGGCUCUGAAUUUGGGCUUGGGUUUCGUUUUAAUCUACAAGUGAUAUAAGAGACAAUCAAGUUUCAUUCUGGCUUUUAUGUUUCAAAGAAACUGCGAUACAUAAUUUUAGCGGGUCUGAUUUGCCUCCUAAUGCUUAUUGAUAUUCUCCCCUUGCAUUGGCAUAUUCACAAAAUGACAUGUUUGAUUGUACUUUGGCAUGUAUAUAUUUUUCAUUGGAUAAAUAGAGUGUAAUACAUGGAUCGCUGCAUUCCUCAUUUCAUCUAGAUCUGCAAUCUGGGGAACACGCACAAACAGAAAAGAUAUGUGCCUUCUAUUUUUCAGACAUUUACUAUUUCUUCUUUGAGAUUUGUUUUCUUGGUAGGGCAGUACAAGAGUUGUCUGGUAUGCAUAUAUAGCUGCAUUCGUACUAGACAAGACAAGUUAGUUAUUCUGUAGUUUUCCCCAUUUGAAGGAUUUUUAUUGGAAAAAGUCAUGUCUCAUUUGCCAAAUCUGAAACAUUAGUCCAUGAAUAUGGCCUCCUUGCUUUCACUGCCGUGUCAAAUCUAUUAUCUGCUAUUUCAGCAAAGCAAGGUAAUAAUCAUUAUAUGUACAUGUUCCGCUUCUCAGUUUGUAUAGUGAAGUCUUGGCGUAUUUAUUAUUACUUGUCGUGCUUCUGUAGGUAGAUUGCCCUGUUUAUUUUUCAGAAUUAUCAUGCCAAUUAUUAUAGUUACGAUGGCAGGGUUUUAAUUUGAGGUUCUCUAAAGUUUAAAUGGUAGGAACACUAUUGGACUGGAGUUGCUAGCUAUUAAACUUUUACAUGUCAAAGGUAGGAGAAACAUGUGUUUCUGUUGGCUAUGGUUUAUGUACUUUCCUUUAAGAAGUUAGCCCUAUAACUUUCUCUAUUGCUAACGUGAAUUUAUCUCUGAAAGAAAGCACAUUGCGACUUCAGCACCUUUCUUUCUGGAAUUACUUUGAAUUAUUUUUUAUGAAAAUAGUUUAGAAAGUAGGUUAAAUAAAGUAUGGUACCACUUCAGAAGAUUUCUUUGCUUUAAUUAGUUUUGUGAUGAUCUGCAGGAGCCUAGGGAGUCAAGUUCACUCCAAUGACCAAAUACAAGGGGAAAUGUAACUCAAGGGCAACCUUAUGAAUCAAGCUGUGCGCGGACGAUGUAAAUAUACUUCUACAGAGGCGGGAGGCAGAAGGUAUUCUCUCUCCAUACAUGAUCAUUUAUUUCUUCGUAAGCGCAUUCUUUUGGUGAUUCUAAUUUGUUAAGCGUGUUGGUAUCCACUAUUUUACAUUUUGGGACAGUUGUGCUAACGAAACCACAAUCAGCUAGCUGCUUUGUGACUGGUGUUAAAUAUUGAAACCUUUGCUCUCUUUUAAAUUUUUGGAUGGUUGGGCUAACAAACCCACAUUCAGAUGGCUGCUUUCUGUCCCGUCAAAUACUGAAAUCACUGCAUCAAUAUCAUGACUAGCUACUAUAUUUUAUUUGUUGCAUACUAGAAAAUCAGCUUUUAUAUCGAACAUGCUUCUGAUAUCUUUAAUGCCAUC